rnacentral:rRNA from 1 species
UACGUAGGGGGCAAGCGUUGUCCGGAUUCAUUGGGCGUAAAGAGCGUGUAGGCGGCGAGGUAGGUCGGUUGUGAAAACUGGAGGCUCAACCUUCAGAGGUCGACCGAAACCAUCUGGCUAGAGUCCGGGAGAGGAGAGUGGAAUUCCUGGUGUAGCGGUGAAAUGCGCAGAUAUCAGGAAGAACACCCGUGGCGAAAGCGGCUCUCUGGAACGGUACUGACGCUGAGACGCGAAAGCGUGGGGAGCGAACAGG